CAGACGUGUUCUCUUCCGCUUUCAAAAAUAAGAUAUCAUUCUGAAUCUACAAAGACUAAGUGACCGACGUUCAACAUCGUUCGAUUGAUCAACUCUUCCGAACUUGAGGUGAGGCCCUGGUCCAGAAUUGUACUGACGCGGACCGACACGAU
rnacentral:lncRNA from 1 species